UCAGUCUUACCGGUGGAUCACUCGGUUCGUGGAUCGAUGAAGAACGCAGCAAACUGCGAUAAGUAGCGUGAAUUGCAGACGCUUUGAACGCCAAACUUUCGAACGCACAUUGCGCCGUAGGAGUCCUACCCUACGGCACAUCUGGUUGAGGGUCGUG
rnacentral:rRNA from 1 species